rnacentral:rRNA from 1 species
GAGUUUGAUCUUGGCUCAGAACGAACGCUGGCGGCGUGGAUAAGACAUGCAAGUCGAACGGGAGAAUUGCUAGCUUGCUAAUAAUUCUCUAGUGGCGCACGGGUGAGUAACACGUGAGUAACCUGCCUCCGAGAGCGGGAUAGCCCUGGGAAACUGGGAUUAAUACCGCAUAGUAUCGAAAGAUUAAAGCAGCAAUGCGCUUGGGGAUGGGCUCGCGGCCUAUUAGUUAGUUGGUGAGGUAACGGCUCACCAAGGCGAUGACGGGUAGCCGGUCUGAGGAGGAUCGUCCGGCCACACGU